rnacentral:rRNA from 1 species
CCUACGGGAGGCAGCAGUGGGGAAUAUUGCACAAUGGGGGAAACCCUGAUGCAGCAACGCCGCGUGAGUGAUGAAGGCCUUCGGGUUGUAAAGCUCUGUCUUCAGGGACGAUAAUGACGGUACCUGAGGAGGAAGCCCCGGCUAACUACGUGCCAGCAGCCGCGGUAAUACGUAGGGGGCGAGCGUUGUCCGGAUUUACUGGGCGUAAAGGGAGCGUAGGCGGACUUUUAAGUGAGAUGUGAAAUACUCGGGCUCAACUUAAGUGCUGCAUUUCAAACUGGAAGUCUAGAGUGCAGGAGAGGAGAAUGGAAUUCCUAGUGUAGCGGUGAAAUGCGUAGAGAUUAGGAAGAACACCAGUGGCGAAGGCAGCCUACUAAACUGCCACUGACAUUGAUGCUCGAAAGUGUGGGUAGCAAACAGGAUUAGAUACCCGGGUAGUC